AUUCCAAUUGCUGCUGGAGUGUUAUUCCCUAUAAAUGGAACCAUGCUGACUCCAUCAAUUGCUGGGGCUCUCAUGGGGUUGAGUUCCAUCGGUGUAAAGACCAACUCGUUACUUUUUAAGAUUCAGAUUUUCUGCAAAGCAGAAACAAAUACAUGGUAUGUUGCCGAAGACCAAAAUCUAUGCAGAUUCUGACUUGGAAAACCAAAACCAGAAACAGAAAUACCGGUAUUAGAUGUUAGGAGGCUCCUCCUAAUAGCAUAGAAAUGAGGUUCCCCAUCCUGAUGUCAGGUUGAGUAGAGAAUGCUAGGAUUACUGCAUAAUGCCGGCUUUGCAUGGGGAUAUUAGGUGAGGCAUCAUCCUUAAGCUACCGUUAUAAUAUAAGGAUGAGGAAUUUUCAUAUGGUCAUGCUAUCUCUACUCUUUGAAUUGGAUCCUCUACAACGAGAGUAGUUAUAAAUAAUAAAGUGAGAAUCGAUCAAUUGCUUUUAUUGUGCAUGGAUUUCACCGAACUGAUUUAAAGUAGCUAAGCUUGUGGCAGCGUCGUUUGUGUCAAAAUAACUUAUCUUUCCAAUGUUCUUGCAUCGGGAUCCCUUGCAAUCUCAUGAAAUUCAUUCGUGUAUAAUGCCUUUUUUGUAUUUGCAAAUAUUACAUUUCAUAUUCUGUGAGAAAAAUAUCUUCAUA